AGACACAAGAACUUCCCACGCUGGAGGAAUGGCAGAUGAAACUUAUGGACUAUAUGGAAUUGGCGGAAAUGACUGGUAGAAUCCGUGACCAGGGAGAAGAGUCGAUGGAGGAAGACUGGAAGAAAUUCAAAGACUAUCUUCAGAAACACUGCAAAAUUAAGGAAUGUUAGAGUGAUGUUGGACUGAAAACAAGUGGUUUCCAGCUGUACAGGUUAAAGUUAUAGAUUAAGAUUAAAGAUCAAGAUUAAAGAUGUUUAAAGAAAUGGAAAUUUGAUAAUAAAAGGGAAAAAUUUAAAGUUAUAUGACAUUAAGAUCAAGGAUUAGGUUUAAAAAAGUUGAAGUUAUAUAUCUUAAUGUUUUAUUAAAUUAAAGAUUGGGAUUAAAAAAGUGGAAAAGAAACUGCUGGACAAACAAUGUAGAUUGGAAUACAAAAGAGGGAGGUAUGAGGAAGUCCAGAAAAUAAGUAAUUUAAAACUGGAAAUGGAAAAGAGAGUUUGUUUUUAAUUGCUAUGUUUUGUGUUUUUAUUGUUAAGUUUUGUAUUGUUUUUUGUGUGUGUUGUUUUUCUUUUUUUUGUUUGUUUGUUUAAAAC